UGGGGAAUAUUGCACAAUGGGCGCAAGCCUGAUGCAGCCAUGCCGAGUGUAUGAAGAAGGCCUUCGGGUUGUAAAGUACUUUCAGCGGGGAGGAAGGCGAUAAGGUUAAUAACCUUGUCGAUUGACGUUACCCGCAGAAGAAGCACCGGCUAACUCCGUGCCAGCAGCCGCGGUAAUACGGAGGGUGCAAGCGUUAAUCGGAAUUACUGGGCGUAAAGCGCACGCAGGCGGUCUGUCAAGUCGGAUGUGAAAUCCCCGGGCUCAACCUGGGAACUGCAUUCGAAACUGGCAGGCUAGAGUCUUGUAGAGGGGGGUAGAAUUCCAGGUGUAGCGGUGAAAUGCGUAGAGAUCUGGAGGAAUACUGGUGGCGAAGGCGGCCCCCUGGACAAAGACUGACGCUCAGGUGCGAAAGCGUGGGGAGCAAACA
rnacentral:rRNA from 1 species